rnacentral:lncRNA from 1 species
UUUACACAAAAUUCAGAUUAUAUAAAAACUUCAGUCUCAAUUAUUUACAUAAAUCAGGGAAUAUCUAUAUAGAAAAUGAAUAUUAUGAAAACAGAUUUCAUAACAGCAUAACCCUUUGUAAGUAUAGUUCAUAUGAUCUUUAAAAAAUUGAAAACAAUAAAAUUUUCUAUUAGAAUCAGUGACAGAUUUAUAAGUACAUGUAUUUGUAAUGCAUGCAGAAAUAGAGUCUUGAGUAAACAAGAAUCUCCAGAUUCUAAGCAAACACACAAAAAAAUUUUACAUAGUAAUCUGUUUUUUAUAUAUAUAUAUAUAAUUUCAUUUUGUGCAAGGUCUCAUGCAAACCCCUAAAUAAUGAGAAGUUUUGUUUUUUUAUUUUGACCCUGAUUCUUUAAUUAUUUUGUUUUCAAACUAUAUUCAAGAAUGAUUGGUGAAGGUUUUAUAAAACAAAUGACUAAAGAUCCUAGAUUGAAGUGAUGAUGCCACAAGCAAGAUAAACUGUAGACAAAGAGGAUUGGAUAUCGAAUGGAAUGAGAAUGGAAUGAAUUCCUUUGCCUUAGUGCAAAUCUACCACUAAGGCAAAGGAAAGAAAUGGUUUAUGCUAAUGUAUAUAUAUAGACAAAAAUAAUAGAAUUUUCCAACUUACAGCCAUUCUGAAUUACAAUAGUAGGGUUCAGUUUGAACCUUAUCAUUAGUCAAGAAUUACCUGUAUUAGGGACUUUGAAUAUUUUUCUUGAUUUGAAAUUACUAUAAGAAU